GUUCAGGUCACGUGACGUUAUCGUGUAAUCGGAGUGGAAAUGGCCAGAAUUACUGGUGUGAAAUAAACCGUUUUUUUUACCGUUUCAAAGAUUGUUUCAUAGAAAUAAAGGUUAUCUAUUAUAAAAUUAAUAUUUGUUUUAACUAUAAAUGACAUUUUUAAACUAUAACGAGUUUUAGAAACCUUUUUAAACUUUAUCUAGAAAUGCGCCGAUUCGACGACGUUCUGCAUGUUUAGUGUAUUACGGCCGCGGUUUAGUCUGUUCUUUAAGAGGUAGUCGUUUUUUGAUUGGCUAUCCGGGAGCUGUUUGAUGACGUAUCGCUUUGUAAAGCCAAUGAAAUAAAAGAUAACACUCCAAGCUACAUGGUGAUAUAUUUUCGCAUGGCGUAUGACCUUUAGAAGUUGGUGAAAAUGUAAACAGAAAAAAGUCAUCGGAGAAUUUUACGAUAAAUAAGACCUUUUCAGGGACUUAUGUCAUGAAGUUAUGACUUAUCGUCUUAUGUCAAUACUCAAUAGACUGUAUUGUUUGAGUCAAAGAUUAGGUGUCUUAAAAUGGCUGGGAUUUUAUUAGGUACAUUAAAUUCCACAUUUAAUUGUUCUUGUUUAUCUUUGACUUUGUUUGUUUUGUUUAUCUUUGUGUUCAAAUAUAAAUAACAGCAGACUUGUGAUGCUCACAUUCACAAUAAAAAGUAUAGAUCAAGACCUAAAUUUAUAUCAUAAAUGAUGUCCCGGGAGUUUAAUUACGUCGUUAAAUAUGCUUGAUUUUACAAAAGUUAAUCGCUACGUAUGUCAUAACUGUUUUGAUCCUUGUGCCCAUGCAUAAACGCAUGCAUUUUAUAUUAGUUUUCAACCCCCAAGUAUUCGUGAUAAAAAGGUCAUAUUCAUGGUAAUGUUAUACGGAAAUAAAUAUAUCCUUCUAUAGAUAUAAUUAAUAAUAUCAUUUUGAUGAUUUUCUCAACUUAUAUCCAACCAUAAUUUCUUUUUAAUGUAUUAAAUGGUAUAUGUGCUCCUUUGGUGUAUCUUUUUGAAAUUGACAAUUUUGCUGUUAUUUAUAAUUGCGAGUGAAAGAAAAUUGAAAGAGCAUGGUUCUUUGUGGUUAAUUCUUUUUGUUUCAGUUCCACAUGUUGUGGAUUGUGACUGUGGGCAGUUGUGACCAUGUUCUGUUUUGAAGAGUGGAGUAGUAAAAAACCAUGAAGCCAUCGUGAUGAGCCAUGAUGUGGAUAUAAACAGGGCUAUUCUUAUUUUUUUUUUCUUCACAUUUAUAAUUUGUAUACAUGUACUGCUGGUCGGGACAUGUAGAAGCAUAACUUACAACUUAUAAUUUAAUUCUGAAAUUGAAGAAAAUUAACAAACUAAAUUCCUAAGCCUAGCAUGCUAGGCUUUUAGGUUUAACUUACUAUUUAACAUUUAAGUAGCAGUGAUUCACUUAAAAAAAAAAAAUUACAUGACUUUAUUUACAUACUUUACCAUAAAAUAUUUACAUAACAUGCCGUCAUGCGUUUAAAAGGCCCAGUUGUUUCUGAUUAAUACUAGCCCGUGUCUAGCGUGCUAUAUUUAUAACUUUAAAGCCGUCCUGCUAUUAUGACACAAGGCGUGCCAAUAUGACAAGACCGCACACACCAGCUUAAUAUUUAACUUUUUAGCUAUUGAUGCGUCUAUUUUUGCCAUUUCAGAAUCGCAUAACCUUGAUACCGGGAAACAGGCCUUGACCAACAAAGAUGUUAUCACAGCUUUUGAACAAUUUUGUUGCGGGAAAAUUACUUUUAAAUCUUCUUUGUGCGAGUUCAAAGAGAGGUAUGGUACUCAGGUUUGUGAUCAAACUGAGGCCAGUCUGAGAAUGAAGAUUAGUAAAUUGUACAAAAGGGAAAGAAAACUUGUGAUUAUUGACAUGGAGAAAGGUGAUCUGAUACUGUCAUAAUUGAGUCAAAGUAUUUUGUUUGUAUCCAGGUAUGGUUACAAAAAUAUUAUUUUAAAAAUAUAUAUAAUGCUCAAAGGAUUUCUUGACUUAAAUAUUGUGUCAAUAGAUGACAGUUUUAAAAGGGGAGGACACUGGAGACAUUGUUAUUUAUUUAAUAAUGAUGAUGAUGAUAAUGAAAGAAGUUUUAUAUAUAAUAAAUAUAGUUUUGAUUAUCAAUCUAACAUGCGCAAGGUUAUGUGCCUUACAGAGUAAUUUCACCACGGCAUGAGAAUGCUGCUUAAAACUGAAAAUUGUUAUUUCACUAAAGAUGUACUAAAAGAAACUGAAGUAUUUGUAUAUUUUAGUCACUGCUCUUUCUUUUUCAGAACUUAGUUUUCACAAAAAGCAUGAACAAAAUGUCAUGUUUUAAUCUGAAUAAUACCUUAAUAUAAGAAGUGAGAGAGACAAAGGAUGUAAGGUUGAUUGAAGGGACUUUUUGCGCGUACACUAUUGUUAAUACACUGUUGUUAUUGUACCUCAUUAAUUUUAAAUUGUUGGUUGCUAUGGAAACAGCUUUCUGCAUAACCUUAAGUUUCACAAUAUACCAUUCUCAGUAAGAGAAGUCAUUUGGAAGUACAUACUUAUGAAACCAAUCAAACACUUUUCACAAAUACCUUUUUUCGCACUUUUUAAAAUUUUUGGGUGUUUUGACUUGUUUCUAUGGCAACCCUUUUUCACUGUUCUUUGCAAAUAGAUGCAUGUACAUGUCAUGUGCAGUGAUGUAUGGUUAUCAAAUUGAUAGUGUUUUGUGCUGAUUAUGAGUAUUGGGAUAAGAGUUUUAUUGAACCUAAAUUAUUUACAAAUUGCGUAGUUUUAUGCUUUCAAUUCUUCCUUUUAUGCUUUUGAUUUUGGUUGCUAUGGAGACAGAUUCCGUAAAAUGUUGCUAAAUAUUAUUAGUAAUGGUCUUAACUUUGCAAACCACCAUAUGUAAAAGUCUUUUGUCUUUUAAUUGACAAAAAAUAUUUAAUAUUAGCAAUUUUCAUAUUGUAUGCUUUUAUUACCCGUUUCCAUGGCAACGGUUUUUUCUGUUAUAUGACUGGAUUUUCGUAAAAAAUUGUCAUAACUUGUUAAAAAAUAUCACUGAUCAAAUUACCUUUCUAAAAAUGUAUACUUUAUUAUGCAUUUACUGAAUAAGCUUAGCUGAAAUAACAUUUAAAGAACAAA